rnacentral:miRNA from 1 species
UAUGACAAUCAAAUCUAAGUCA